CUGAGGAUGACCGCUGGCGGCAUGCUUGACACAUGCAGGUUGGACGAGAAGUGGUGUUUCCAGUGGCGAACGGGUGAGUAACUGUUAGGUGUUGGGUUAAGUCCCGCAACAAGUGCGACCCUUGUGUUUAGUUGCCACCGUUGAGGUUGCAACCCUACUCCUUAUGCCCUAGGCAACACACGUACUACAAUGGCUGAGACAAAUGGUUGUGAUCCCGCAAGGGUGAGCUAACUCCAAAAACCCGUCCUUAGUUUGGAUUGUAGGCUGUGACUCUCCUGCAUGAAGCUGUAAUCACCGGUCAUCCAUACGGCGGUGAAUUCGUUCCCAGGCUUCAUACACAGCGCCCGUCAGACCAUGGGAGUUGGCCAUGCCUGAAGUCGUUACCUUACUCGCAAGGAGGAGGAUGCAGAAGGCAAGACUAGUGACUCGAGUGAAGUCGUAACAAGGUAGUCGUACUGGAAGGUGCAGCUGGAUCACCUCCUUUUUAGGGAGAGCUAAUGCUUGUUGAGUAUUUUGGUUUGAAACUGCUUCACACCCAAAAAUAAGCAAGCUAUGUCUGAGUUAAACUUGGAGAUGGAAGUUUUCUUUCGUUUCUCGACGGUGAAGGUUCAUGAGCUUAUUAUCCUAGGUCGGAACAAGUUGAUAGGAUCCUUUUUUUUGCCCCCAUGCCGCCAUACAAGAGAGACAUGGGGACGUAAAAAAGGAAAGAGAGGGAUGGGGUUUCUCUAGCUUUUGGUAUAGCUGGCCCUAGCAGAAGGCCCGCACGACGGGCUAUUAGCUUAGUGGUUGAGCACACUCUUGAUAAUUGCGCCAUUGUGCUUAGGCUGUGAGGGCUAUCAGCCACAUGGAUAGUUCAAUGUGCCCAUCCUACCUCCUCUACGUUCUUGACAGCCCAUCUUGAAGAAUCAGCAGAUGCGUCGGGGUUAGGGGUGAAAUGCCACUCGAACCCAGAGCUGUGAGGGCUAUCAGCCACAUGGAUAGUUCAAUGUGCCCAUCCUACCUCCUCUACGUUCUUGACAGCCCAUCUUGAAGAAUCAGCAGAUGCGUCAAGGUUAGGGGUUAAAUGCCACUCGAACCCAGAGCUAGCUGGUUCACCCCAAAAUUUGUUGGGGCACUAGAAGUAGCCACUCUUGAAAGAGGGUAUAAUAGCUCACCGAUCGAGCGCUCUUGCCUCAAAGAUGAAUGGGGCUAAGCUAUCUGCCAAAGCUGUGGGAUGUUAAAAUGUAUUGGUAGAGGAGCGUUUCCCCUUAGAGAGAAGCACUCGCUCGAGUAGUGGUGGAUGAAGUGGAAGCAAGAAUGUCGGCAUUGAGUAACGCAAAAAUUGAUAAGAAUCAAAUGCCUUGAAAACCUAAGGGUUCCUCUGCAAGGUUUGUCCACGGAGGGUGAGUCAGGGCUUAAGAUUAGGCGAAAAGGAAUAGUCAAUGGAUAACAAGUGAAUAUUUCUGUACUGGGGUUGUUGGUCCCGAGGGACGGAGGAGGCUAGGAUAGCCAAAAGAUGGUUAUUGGUUCAAGGAUGCAAGGUGUCCCUACUUUUUCAAGGUAAGAAGGGGUAGAGAAAAUACUUCAAGCCAAUGUUCAAGUACCAGGCGCUACGCCAUUGAAGUAACCUAUUCUAUACUCCUAGGAAAAGCUCAAACGACCUUCAACAAAAGGGUACCUCUACUCAAAACUCACACAUGUGGGUAGGUAGAGAAUACCUAGGGGAUCACAGUAACUUGGGGAGAAGGGGUGCCUCCUCACAAAGGGGGUCACAGUGACAAGGCUCAGGCAAAUGUUUACCAAAAACACAAGUCUCUGCAAAGUUAUAAGACCAUGUAUAGGGGCUGACGCCUGCCUAGUGCCAGAAGGUCAAGGAUGAUCUGAUGAAAGGAGAGCUGGCGACCGAAGCCCCGAUGAACGGUGGCCAUAACUAUAACGGUCCUAAGGUAGCAAAAUUCCUUGUCAGGUAAGUUCCAACCCGUACGAAAGGGGUAAUGAUCUGGCACUGUCUCGAACAGAGGCUCGGUGAAAUGGACAUGUUUGUGAAGACGCUGACAACCUGUACAAGGAGAGAAUGAAACUUCACCGUUCCCUAGGAUUGGCUUUGGGCCUUUCCUGCGCAACUUAGGUGGAGGGCCUCUUCUGGGGUGCCUGAGCCAUCAGUGAGAUACUACUUUGAAAAAGCUAGAAUUUUAACCUUGUGUCAGGACCUACGUGCAAAGGGAAAGUCUCAGAUAGACAGUUUCUAUGGGGCGUAGGCCUCCCAAAAGGUAACAGAGGCGUGCAAAGGCUUUCUCAUUUUAGACAGAGAUUGGCCUUUGAGUUGAAAGACAGAAGGGAGCUUGACUGCAAGACUCACCCUUCGAUCAGGGACGAAAGUCGGCCUUAGUGACUUGACGGUGUUGAGUGGAAGGGUCGUCGCUCACAGAUAAAAGUUACUCUAGGGAUAACAAGCUGAUCUUCCCCAAGAGCUCACAUCGAUGGGAAGGUUUGUAACCUCGAUGUCAGCUGGGUUGUAGUAUGUUACAAGGGUUGGGCUCGCCCAUUAAAGUGGUACGUGAUCUGAGUUCAGAACGUCGUGGGACAGUUCGAUCCAUAUCCGGUGUAGGCGUUAGAGAAUUGAUAGGACCUUUCCCUAACCUUGGUAUGGAAGUUAUGCAUUAACAUAAUGCUAAUAAUUUCCCUCUAGACCUAGGUGCUGUUGAAGUUCCAUCUAUACUGCUCCUUUACUUUUUAUUUAUUUACAUAGGUGUUUUUUCUUUAGUUUACUUCACCCUACGAAAAAGUAUUUUGAAUAUUCUAUUUUUGUUAU
rnacentral:rRNA from 1 species